UACAGAGGUCUCAAGCGUUGUUCGGAUUCAUUGGGCGUAAAGGGUGUGUAGGUGGCGCGCUAAGUCGGGUGUGAAAUUUCGGAGCUUAACUCCGAAACUGCAUUCGAUACUGGCGUGCUUGAGGACUGGAGAGGAGACUGGAAUUCCUGGUGUAGCAGUGAAAUGCGUAGAUAUCAGGAGGAAUACCGAUGGCGAAGGCAGGUCUCUGGGCUGACACUGACGCUCAUGCACGAAAGCGUGGGGAGCAAACGGG
rnacentral:rRNA from 1 species